rnacentral:misc_RNA from 1 species
GAAAUGCGAUAAGUAAUGUGAAUUGCAGAAUUCAGUGAAUCAUCGAAUCUUUGAACGCACAUUGCGCCCGCCAGUAUUCUGGCGGGCAUGCCUGUUCGAGCGUCAUUUCAACCAUCAAGCCCCCGGCUUGUGUUGGGGACCUGCGGCUGCCCGCAGGCCCUGAAAAAAAGUGGCGGGCUCGCUGUCACACCGAGCGUAGUAGCAUACAUUCUCGCUCAGGGCGUGCUGCGGGUUCCGGCCGUUAAACGACCUUCAUAACCCAAGGUUGACCUCGGAUCAGGUAGGAAGACCCGCUGAACUUAAGC